rnacentral:rRNA from 1 species
UACAGAGACUGCAAGCGUUAUUCGGAUUCACUGGGCGUAAAGGGUGCGCAGGCGGCCGUGUGUGUGAGGCGUGAAAGCCCGGGGCUUAACCCCGGAAUUGCACCUCAAACUACACGGCUAGAGCAUUGGAGAGGGUAGCAGAAUUCGAUGGUGUAGCAGUGAAAUGCGUAGAUAUCAUGAGGAAUACCAGAGGCGAAGGCGGCUACCUGGACAAUUGCUGACGCUCAGGCACGAAAGCGUGGGAGCAAAAGGG